GCAGUCGAGCGGACAGAUGGGAGCUUGCUCCCUGAUGUUAGCGGCGGACGGGUGAGUAACACGUGGGUAACCUGCCUGUAAGACUGGGAUAACUCCGGGAAACCGGGGCUAAUACCGGAUGCUUGUUUGAACCGCAUGGUUCAAACAUAAAAGGUGGCUUCGGCUACCACUUACAGAUGGACCCGCGGCGCAUUAGCUAGUUGGUGAGGUAAUGGCUCACCAAGGCAACGAUGCGUAGCCGACCUGAGAGGGUGAUCGGCCACACUGGGACUGAGACACGGCCCAGACUCCUACGGGAGGCAGCAGUAGGGAAUCUUCCGCAAUGGACGAAAGUCUGACGGAGCAACGCCGCGUGAGUGAUGAAGGUUUUCGGAUCGUAAAGCUCUGUUGUUAGGGAAGAACAAGUACCGUUCGAAUAGGGCGGUACCUUGACGGUACCUAACCAGAAAGCCACGGCUAACUACGUGCCAGCAGCCGCGGUAAUACGUAGGUGGCAAGCGUUGUCCGGAAUUAUUGGGCGUAAAGGGCUCGCAGGCGGUUCCUUAAGUCUGAUGUGAAAGCCCCCGGCUCAACCGGGGAGGGUCAUUGGAAACUGGGGAACUUGAGUGCAGAAGAGGAGAGUGGAAUUCCACGUGUAGCGGUGAAAUGCGUAGAGAUGUGGAGGAACACCAGUGGCGAAGGCGACUCUCUGGUCUGUAACUGACGCUGAGGAGCGAAAGCGUGGGGAGCGAACAGGAUUAGAUACCCUGGUAGUCCACGCCGUAAACGAUGAGUGCUAAGUGUUAGGGGGUUUCCGCCCCUUAGUGCUGCAGCUAACGCAUUAAGCACUCCGCCAGGGGAGUACGGUCGCAAGACUGAAACUCAAAGGAAUUGACGGGGGCCCGCACAAGCGGUGGAGCAUGUGGUUUAAUUCGAAGCAACGCGAAGAACCUUACCAGGUCUUGACAUCCUCUGACAAUCCUAGAGAUAGGACGUCCCCUUCGGGGGCAGAGUGACAGGUGGUGCAUGGUUGUCGUCAGCUCGUGUCGUGAGAUGUUGGGUUAAGUCCCGCAACGAGCGCAACCCUUGAUCUUAGUUGCCAGCAUUCAGUUGGGCACUCUAAGGUGACUGCCGGUGACAAACCGGAGGAAGGUGGGGAUGACGUCAAAUCAUCAUGCCCCUUAUGACCUGGGCUACACACGUGCUACAAUGGACAGAACAAAGGGCAGCGAAACCGCGAGGUUAAGCCAAUCCCACAAAUCUGUUCUCAGUUCGGAUCGCAGUCUGCAACUCGACUGCGUGAAGCUGGAAUCGCUAGUAAUCGCGGAUCAGCAUGCCGCGGUGAAUACGUU
rnacentral:rRNA from 1 species